rnacentral:rRNA from 1 species
CACGUAGGGUGCGAGCGUUGUCCGGAAUUAUUGGGCGUAAAGAGCUCGUAGGCGGUUUGUCGCGUCGGCCGUGAAAUCUCCACGCUUAAUGUGGAGCGUGCGGUCGAUACGGGCAGACUUGAGUUCGGUAGGGGAGACUGGAAUUCCUGGUGUAGCGGUGAAAUGCGCAGAUAUCAGGAGGAACACCGGUGGCGAAGGCGGGUCUCUGGGCCGAUACUGACGCUGAGGAGCGAAAGCGUGGGGAGCGAACAGG